UCGUCGGGCAGCGCCGGGCCUCGGAGUGCGGCCAGGCCGGCCGGCGCGUGCCUUUGUGCCCCGGGCGCCGCGCUUCCCGGGUCCCGUUCGCGCUUCUAGGCAGUGAGCAGUGCGCGCCCACUGGAAAACGGCUAUGUGCCCGCCACCCCCCUGUGCCUUCCCAGUCACUUUCUCCAGGUAUUUUCUUCACGUUUUAUCUCGGCGUGCCAAAGGAAGCAGCGACGCCGCGAAGGAGCCGCUCGGAAUUCUCUGAACGCGGCCAGAUGAGGAACCUCACCCCAGCUCUUCCCAACGACCGGGCCCUGCCCUGUGUUGAGGGAAUGGCCAGCCAGAUGGACGAAGUUCCCGGACGGCGGAAAAGAUAAACAACGAUAACAAAGAAGUGCAAAGACUGUUAUGGGACACGGUAGGUGUCAAGGACAGCCUUAGCAGAUGCUGUUUCAGCAGAGAAGGUCAUCGUGGUUACACCUUUCGCUGAGUGUGGAAAACGUCUUGGAGAAGCGUACCUGGAUUCAGAGGAGGAGUCGGCCAAGGAAAGCAUGCAGGACAGCGAGACCAACAUGGUGGCAACAAGAAUGAAUGCACGUACCCAGUUGAUUGGGUUGAAGGACAGGCAGGACACAUUUUCGCAUAGGAAGACAGGAAAACACAUCGUGGCUUUCCCAAUGACCCAAGAACUUGGUACAUGCAUUAUAUCUGUCAUCCUUGCCACUUCUGUCCCGUGUCAUGAUGUCAGCUCCUCCGUAUGGUGGCACCAUCCAUCUGCCUCCAGACUUCCCAGUCACCAGAACCGUAAGGAAGCAGGCCAAAGGAGUCAGCAUGGAACCUCUGCAAAAGCACCUACAGAAGAGUGCAGUCAACAAAAGAUGGGGGAAGAAUCUUCUCAAGUGUGCUCUGAGAAACAGAAGUGACGGGAGCUUGGAGCUUGGCCCUUUCAUGGUCUGCUGGUGGUGACAUAAAUUGGCUCAGGCUUUUGGCAGGGCACGGGACGGUGGGGAUGAAUGCUCUAAAUGAGUGUACCUUUGACCCAGAAGUCCCACUUUUUGUCAUUUCCUCCAAGACAGUGAUUG